AUAGUGUUCCUUGAUCUCAACCCUUUCUGUGUACCAAUCCAUGUUGCUUUCCCAGGUGUUUGGUCAUCUGGGAAAGGGCCCUUUCAAAGCGAAUCAUUGAAUCAGCUGUCUGAGUUGGCCCAGUGCCUUAUUAUUUAAAUAAGUUAAAACUUUCAACAACGGAUCUCUUGGCUCUCGCAUCGAUGAAGAACGCAGCGAAAUGCGAUAAGUAAUGUGAAUUGCAGAAUUCAGUGAAUCAUCGAAUCUUUGAACGCACAUUGCGCCCCUUGGUAUUCCUUGGGGCAUGCCUGUUCGAGCGUCACUGCAAACCCACUCAUAAAUAUUAUGGUAUUGAUGGAAGUGAACUGAACCAAUCAUUGUGCUCAGGUCAUCCCAUCGAAAUGCAUAGGCAAGACAAUCAACCUCUGCAAAUGGACUUAGUAACAGUCUUGAAGACAUAAACCAGUUCUUUGCUUGGUUCUGACUUGGCCUCCAUGGACCUCCAUCCAAGAUAAUAAUUAACUUUGGGUUGACCUCGGAUCAGGUAGGGAUACCCGCUGAACUUAAGCAUAUCAAUAAGCGGAGGA
rnacentral:sRNA from 1 species